rnacentral:rRNA from 1 species
UUUGGAGGGGCAAGUCUGGUGCCAGCAGCCGCGGUAAUUCCAGCUCCAAUAGCGUAUAUUAAAGUUGUUGCAGUUAAAAAGCUCGUAGUUGAACCUUGGGCCUGGCUGGCCGGUCCGCCUCACCGCGUGUACUGGUCCGGCCGGGCCUUUCCUUUUGGGGAACCUCAUGCCCUUCACUGGGCGUGUUGGGGAACCAGGACUUUUACUUUGAAAAAAUUAGAGUGUUCAAAGCAGGCCUUUGCUCGAAUACAUUAGCAUGGAAUAAUAGAAUAGGACGUGUGGUUCUAUUUUGUUGGUUUCUAGGACCGCCGUAAUGAUUAAUAGGGAUAGUCGGGGGCAUCAGUAUUCAAUCGUCAGAGGUGAAAUUCUUGGAUUGAUUGAAGACUAACUACUGCGAAAGCAUUUGCCAAGGAUGUUUUCAUUAAUCAGUGAACGAAAGUUAGGGGAUCGAAGACGAUCAGAUACCGUCGUAGUCUUAACCAUAAACUAUUCC